GACGAACGCUGGCGGCGUGCUUAACACAUGCAAGUCGAACGGCAAGGCCCUGCUUUUGUGGGGUGCUCGAGUGGCGAACGGGUGGGUAACACGUGAGUAACCUGCCCUUGACUUUGGGAUAACUUCAGGAAACUGGGGCUAAUACCGGAUAGGAGCUCCUGCUGCAUGGUGGGGGUUGGAAAGUUUCGGCGGUUGGGGAUGGACUCGCGGCUUAUCAGCUCGUUGGUGGGGUAUUGGCUUACCACGGCUGUGACGGGUAACCGGCCUGAGAGGGUGACCGGCCACAUUAGGCCUGAGAUACGGCGCAGACUCCUACGGGAGGCAGCAGUGGGGAAUAUUGCACAGUGGGCGGAAGCCUGAUGCAGCAACGCCGCGUGCGGGAUGACGGCCUUCGGGUUGUAAACCGCUUUCGCCUGAGACGAAGCGUGAGUGACGGUAAUGGGUAAAGAAGCACCGGCUAACUACGUG
rnacentral:rRNA from 1 species